rnacentral:rRNA from 1 species
UACGGGGGGAGCAAGCGUUGUUCGGAUUUACUGGGCGUAAAGGGCGCGUAGGCGGCCACCGCAAGUCAAUUGUGAAAUCUCCGGGCUUAACUCGGAAAGGUCAACUGAUACUGCGGGGCUAGAGUGCGGAAGGGGCAACUGGAAUUCUCGGUGUAGCGGUGAAAUGCGUAGAUAUUCGCAAGAACACCAGUGGCGAAGGCGGCUUACUGGUCCGGUUCUGACGCUGAGGCGCGAAAGCGUGGGGAGCAAACAGG